GGCAGAUCCGCUGAAGGGCGCCUCCGACAUAGAAGGUAGCAAGGCGAGGUUUAUCCGGUGGAGGGUGCGAGGGACGGAGAGAUAUAUACGUGGCCGAGCUCGCCUUCAGACCUAGCGGCAUCUCAUCGGCCCUGCAGUUUGUGAUGAAUGAUGAUGGUGAGGUGUUGGUCUAUGCUAGUUGAGUUCUCGAAGCGGAGGCAAUGGAUCUCUAGAUUGCAUGAUGGUUUUACUUAUGUAUGAAUGGUUUACAACUUGUUGGCUUGGCAAAUAGCGCUGUGCUUCUAUGGUGUCACCAAUCCAGAAAAGGCCUCAGAUGUCUCUAGAUAAUGUACUACCAUUUACAUAGAAAUUAGAUUCUUGUGUGAUUUAGUUCCUGAAGUUCGAGUUAGCGGCUUCUAUUAGAAACAAGGGCAUGGAUGAUGUAUGUUGCAGGAACAGAUUGUAAACACAUUCGUGAUGUUCAUAAAUAAAGUUCUCCUUCGGAA